GUUGAGCUGAGUUGCAAAUCGACUGAGUUGAUUGAGCCGUUUGCCUCAAGAUCAAAUUCUGGCCAAAAUAUUAGCCCCUGUUCCUCCUCCAACUUCAGGAUGUAUCCUGAGAACCAGCUUCCCUCCCCUGCAGCAUCUCUGGCACCUGCUCUACUGUCCCUUCUUUAUUGAUUCAUCCAUUCAACACAAAUGUACUGAGCAGCCACCUGGGUCAGACACACCGCUAGGGACUGAGGAUGGAGGAGUGGACAAGGAGGACCCAUCCCUGGCUGCCGGGAGCCUACAGUCUAGUGGAGGAAACAGACACCAGAGAACUAACCAUACUGACUAAUGAAUGACGACUGUGGUAUUGCUGGUCUGAGUGCCCCUGCUAUAAAGCAAGGAGUGUCAGUGCGGACUCUGCAGCCAGAAAGCCAGAAAUGUGCUCCCCUGUUGGGGAGAUAAAAGAGCUCUCGGGAGCACCGGGGAUGAAGAAGCUUGUUAAGGAAUGAGAAUAAGGCGGAGAAGACCAGAAAGGUAAGCUGUCGCACAGCAAUCUGUCCCAGCAGGAAAUACCGACUGUGAAGAUACAGAGCUGCCUUCGGAUUCUAGUCGUCUCCAGAACCACACAAACGACUGUGCACGAGAGAUUCAAUGGGCACAGGCAGCCUUUGACUGAGGCUGGACUCCUGCUUGUUACCCCGGCAACUGUGAUGGUCCUUAUUAAGACAACAGGGAUGCUUCCAAGCACCAAGAGGGUAGGGAACUAGGUGGUGGUUGUUAGUGCUAUGGAGU